rnacentral:rRNA from 1 species
GAGUUUGAUCAUGGCUCAGGAUGAACGCUGGCGGCGUGCUUAACACAUGCAAGUCGAACGAACCUUCGGGUUAGUGGCGGACGGGUGAGUAACGCGUGGGAAUCUGCCCUCAGGAGGGGGAUAACGGUUGGAAACGACCGCUAAUACCCCAUAUGCCGAGAGGUGAAAUGAAUUUCGCCUGAGGAUGAGCCCGCGUCUGAUUAGCUUGUUGGUGAGGUAAUGGCUCACCAAGGCAUCGAUCAGUAGCUGGUCUGAGAGGAUGAUCAGCCACACUGGGACUGAGACACGGCCCAGACUCCUACGGGAGGCAGCAGUGGGGAAUUUUCCGCAAUGGGCGAAAGCCUGACGGAGCAACGCCGCGUGAGGGACGAAGGCCUCUGGGCUGUAAACCUCUUUUCUCAAGGAAGAAGAUAUGACGGUACUUGAGGAAUAAGCCACGGCUAAUUCCGUGCCAGCAGCCGCGGUAAUACGGGAGUGGCAAGCGUUAUCCGGAAUUAUUGGGCGUAAAGCGUCCGCAGGCGGCCCUUCAAGUCUGCUGUUAAAACGUGGAGCUUAACUCCAUCAUGGCAGUGGAAACUGAUUGGCUUGAGUAUGGUAGGGGCAGAGGGAAUUCCCGGUGUAGCGGUGAAAUGCGUAGAUAUCGGGAAGAACACCAGUGGCGAAGGCGCUCUGCUGGGCCAUUACUGACGCUCAUGGACGAAAGCCAGGGGAGCGAAAGGGAUUAGAUACCCCUGUAGUCCUGGCCGUAAACGAUGAACACUAGGUGUCGGGGGAAUCGACCCCUUCGGUGUCGUAGCUAACGCGUUAAGUGUUCCGCCUGGGGAGUACGCACGCAAGUGUGAAACUCAAAGGAAUUGACGGGGGCCCGCACAAGCGGUGGAGUAUGUGGUUUAAUUCGAUGCAACGCGAAGAACCUUACCAGGGCUUGACAUCCUGCGAACCUUUAAGAAAUUAGAGGGUGCCUUCGGGAACGCAGUGACAGGUGGUGCAUGGCUGUCGUCAGCUCGUGUCGUGAGAUGUUGGGUUAAGUCCCGCAACGAGCGCAACCCACGUUUUUAGUUGCCAGCAUUUAGUUGGGCACUCUAGAAAGACCGCCGGUGAUAAACCGGAGGAAGGUGUGGAUGACGUCAAGUCAUCAUGCCCCUUACGUCCUGGGCUACACACGUACUACAAUGCUACGGACAAAGGGCAGCAAACUCGCGAGAGCUAGCAAAUCCCAUAAACCGUGGCUCAGUUCAGAUCGUAGGCUGCAACUCGCCUACGUGAAGUAGGAAUCGCUAGUAAUCGCAGGUCAGCAUACUGCGGUGAAUACGUUCCCGGGCCUUGUACACACCGCCCGUCACACCAUGGAAGUUGGCCAUGCCCGAAGUCGUUACUUUAACCCUUGUGGAGAAGGACGCCGAAGGUGGGGCUGAUGACUGGGGUGAAGUCGUAACAAGGUAACC